AGGAUCGCUUUCAAGUUCUCUCACCUGUAUUAACAAACAAAAGAAAAUUUAAGCUAAAAAUAAAUAAAGAUCAGCGCACCAUUUCGAAUCUAAUGAUAGCCUUCCAUUUUUAAUUACGAACCAAACUAGUACAAAAGACAUUAAUGUAGAAGAAAGCACAUAGAAGAAACAGAUCAUGAAUUUUUGUUUCAGGGCUUUUUGUUUACAGGAAAUUUGUGAGAAUACAAACGAAAAUCAGGCAGGUUUAUUAUCUUUUACGCAUGCAUGAAGUUGGUAAUCAAAAUGGUUAAAGAUAAUGAUUUCAUAUUGCAAGCAAA
rnacentral:misc_RNA from 1 species